rnacentral:rRNA from 2 species
GGGUUGUGAGGUUAAGCGACUAAGCGUACACGGUGGAUGCCCUGGCAGUCAGAGGCGAUGAAGGACGUGCUAAUCUGCGAAAAGCGCCGGCGAGGUGAUAUGAACCCUUGACCCGGCGAUGUCCGAAUGGGGAAACCCAGUGCAAUUCGUUGCACUAUCGUUAACUGAAUACAUAGGUUAACGAGGCGAACCGGGGGAACUGAAACAUCUAAGUACCCCGAGGAAAAGAAAUCAACCGAGAUUCCCCCAGUAGCGGCGAGCGAACGGGGAGCAGCCCGGAGUCUGAAUCAGCUUGUGUGUUAGUGGAACGGUCUGGAAAGUCCGACGGUACAGGGUGAUAGUCCCGUACACGAAAAUGCACAGGUUGUGAACUCGAAGAGUAGGGCGGGACACGUGGUAUCCUGUCUGAAUAUGGGGGGACCAUCCUCCAAGGCUAAAUACUCCUGACUGACCGAUAGUGAACCAGUACCGUGAGGGAAAGGCGAAAAGAACCCCGGCGAGGGGAGUGAAAAAGAACCUGAAACCGUGUACGUACAAGCAGUGGGAGCCUCUUUAUGGGGUGACUGCGUACCUUUUGUAUAAUGGGUCAGCGACUUAUAUUCUGUAGCAAGGUUAACCGUAUAGGGGAGCCGAAGGGAAACCGAGUCUUAACUGGGCGUUAAGUUGCAGGGUAUAGACCCGAAACCCGGUGAUCUAGCCAUGGGCAGGUUGAAGGUUGGGUAACACUAACUGGAGGACCGAACCGACUAAUGUUGAAAAAUUAGCGGAUGACCUGUGGCUGGGGGUGAAAGGCCAAUCAAACCGGGAGAUAGCUGGUUCUCCCCGAAAGCUAUUUAGGUAGCGCCUCGUGAACUCAUCUUCGGGGGUAGAGCACUGUUUCGGCUAGGGGGCCAUCCCGGCUUACCAACCCGAUGCAAACUACGAAUACCGAAGAAUGUUAUCACGGGAGACACACGGCGGGUGCUAACGUCCGUCGUGAAGAGGGAAACAACCCAGACCGCCAGCUAAGGUCCCAAAGUCAUGGUUAAGUGGGAAACGAUGUGGGAAGGCACAGACAGCCAGGAUGUUGGCUUAGAAGCAGCCAUCAUUUAAAGAAAGCGUAAUAGCUCACUGGUCGAGUCGGCCUGCGCGGAAGAUGUAACGGGGCUAAACCAUGCACCGAAGCUGCGGCAGCGACACUAUGUGUUGUUGGGUAGGGGAGCGUUCUGUAAGCCGUUGAAGGUGUGCUGUGAGGCAUGCUGGAGGUAUCAGAAGUGCGAAUGCUGACAUAAGUAACGAUAAAGCGGGUGAAAAGCCCGCUCGCCGGAAGACCAAGGGUUCCUGUCCAACGUUAAUCGGGGCAGGGUGAGUCGACCCCUAAGGCGAGGCCGAAAGGCGUAGUCGAUGGGAAACAGGUUAAUAUUCCUGUACUUGGUGUUACUGCGAAGGGGGGACGGAGAAGGCUAUGUCAGCCGGGCGACGGUUGUCCCGGUUUAAGCAUGUAGGCGGAGGUUCCAGGUAAAUCCGGUACCUUAUUAACGCUGAGGUGUGAUGACGAGGCACUACGGUGCUGAAGUGAUAAAUGCCCUGCUUCCAGGAAAAGCCUCUAAGCAUCAGGUAACACGAAAUCGUACCCCAAACCGACACAGGUGGUCAGGUAGAGAAUACCAAGGCGCUUGAGAGAACUCGGGUGAAGGAACUAGGCAAAAUGGUGCCGUAACUUCGGGAGAAGGCACGCUGAUAGGUAGGUGAAGCCCCUGCGGGCGGAGCUGAAAUCAGUCGAAGAUACCAGCUGGCUGCAACUGUUUAUUAAAAACAC